AUGCAAGUCGCACGAGAACACUCAGCUUGCUGGGGUAAGUAAAGUGGCGUACGGGUGAGUAACGCGUGGGUAAUCUGCCCUCGAAUCUGGGAUAACCCCGCGAAAGCGGGGCUAAUACCGGAUGAAAUCCAGUUAGCUUUGGCUAUAUGGAUCAAAGGUGGCCUCUGCAUGCAAGCUACUGUUUGGGGAUGAGCCCGCGUACCAUUAGCUUGUUGGUGGGGUAAAGGCCCACCAAGGCGACGAUGGUUAGCUGGUCUGAGAGGAUGAUCAGCCACACUGGAACUGGAACACGGUCCAGACUCCUACGGGAGGCAGCAGUGAGGAAUUUUGCGCAAUGGGGGUAACCCUGACGCAGCAACGCCGCGUGAGUGAUGAAGGCCUUCGGGUCGUAAAGCUCUGUCAAGUGGGAAGAACCCAUUCCGGCACAACAAGCCGGGGUGCUGACGGUACCACUGAAGGAAGCACCGGCUAACUCCGUGCCAGCAGCCGCGGUAAUACGGAGGGUGCGAGCGUUAUUCGGAAUUACUGGGCGUAAAGGGCGCGUAGGCGGCCGAUUAAGUCAGAUGUGAAAUCCCGGGGCUUACCCCCGGAAGUGCAUUUGAUACUGAACGGCUUGAGUAUGGGAGAGGGAAGUGGAAUUCCUGGUGUAGCGGUGAAAUGCGUAGAUAUCAGGAGGAACACCGGUGGCGAAGGCGACUUCCUGGACCAAUACUGACGCUGAGGCGCGAAGGCGUGGGGAGCAAACAGGAUUAGAUACCCUGGUAGUCCACGCAGUAAACGGUGAUCACUAGGUGUAGCGGGUAUUG
rnacentral:rRNA from 1 species